UAAAAACAAACACAUGACUCACAAAUCAUUAAUACAUCCCAUAGCCCCAAUUAAUGUUGCUGCCAUCAAGCUAACAUUGAACAGUCUGUCUGUGACUGUGCAUCUGUAACAUUUUGAAAUGGAAAAGUGAAGGAGAGAAGGUCUAUGAAAAAAGACAAGUAAUAAAAACGAAUAUUUGAAACAGGACUAACAAUCCCACCCUCUUAUCUGGAAGUAUCUCAGUGGGGUCACUGGUUGCUAUGGCAACAUCACAACGUUUCAUAUAAGCACCACUGUCGUUAAAAUUACAAUAGACAGAAAGCAAGGAACAGAUGAGAGAAAACAGAGGAAAACACAACAUAAAUCCUUUAUUACAAGGCAUUUCAACACAUAGGAAUCGCAACAUAUACGCUGGUAAAUUACUCUGCUGGAAUGAUGCAGACCACCACACAGGAGCCAAGGCAUUACAUCAUCACUCCAGUGCACACUGCACUGACCUUGUCGCCACAGCAACCAUCUUUACCUGACAUCACAGUCUGUGCGGAGAUUCUGAGUGCGAAUCAUUCUGAUUGGUCAUUUUUUUUAUUGCGCGUUCUUUAUUUCAUCAAAUCACUGAGCAGUUCAAGGAAAACGGCUUACUGCAGGUUACUAGAUUCAAAUAAAAACAGGCUGGCUCGGUGGCAAAUUAAACUAAUUUAUUGUACUACUGUUUUAUGAGCCUGAAACCACUGACUUCGAAGGAGAUUACGAAAGGGUGAAUCGUGUGAUGUCACAGUUGCCAUGGAAACGGUUGAAGAACAAUGACUGGGUAAGACCAGGUGCUGGUGAAAGAGGUUCAAAAUCUGAAACUAAAUAUGGCAGCACUCACCAUCCCAGCAAACCUGACCACUGGAGCACAGGCCUUCAUCAAAUAGACAACCUUGAAAGAGAG